rnacentral:rRNA from 1 species
UACGAAGGGGGCUAGCGUUGCUCGGAAUCACUGGGCGUAAAGCGCACGUAGGCGGAUUGUUAAGUCAGGGGUGAAAUCCUGGAGCUCAACUCCAGAACUGCCUUUGAUACUGGCGAUCUCGAGUCCGGGAGAGGUGAGUGGAACUGCGAGUGUAGAGGUGAAAUUCGUAGAUAUUCGCAAGAACACCAGUGGCGAAGGCGGCCAUCUGGACCAGCACUGACACUGAGGCACGAAAGCGUGGGGAGCAAACAGG